rnacentral:tRNA from 1 species
UUUUAAUAGCUUAUUUAGAGUACAAUAUUGAAGAUGUUGAGGAGAUGUUUUAUCUUAAAGUAU